rnacentral:piRNA from 1 species
UUGGAGCACUCGCAAAGCAUCUUGGUCUAGU